rnacentral:rRNA from 1 species
GAUGAACGCUAGCGGCAGGCUUAAUACAUGCAAGUCGAGGGGUAGCAAGAUUGUAGCAAUACAAUUGUUGACGACCGGCAAACGGGUGCGGAACACGUACACAACCUUCCUACAAGUGGGGAAUAGCCCAGAGAAAUUUGGAUUAAUACCCCGUAACAUAGCGAUGUGGCAUCACAUUGCUAUUAUAGCUUCGGCGCUUGUUGAUGGGUGUGCGGCUGAUUAGAUAGUUGGCGGGGUAACGGCCCACCAAGUCUACGAUCAGUAGCUGAUGUGAGAGCAUGAUCAGCCACACGGGAACUGAGAGACGGGCCCCACUACUAACGGAGGCAGCAGUAAGGACUAUUGGACAAUGGACGCAAGUCUGAUCCAGCCAUGCCGCGUGAAGGAUUAAGGUCCUCUGGAUUGUAAACUUCUUUUAUAAGGGACGAAAAAAGGUCUUUCUAGAUCGUCUGACGGUACCUUAUGAAUAAGCACCGGCUAACUCCGUGCCAGCCGCCGCCGUAAUAC